CGUCGGAGCCCGAAUUGGGCCAGGAACAGUCCCGUUCAGACCUGCAGCUGUGCAAGCGGGGCUGCUAGCCAAGCCCCUGGGCUGAAUUUGGAGGGGGGUGUCUCUGAACCCCGAAGCCGUUGCAUGCCGGUGGGAUAAUCCUUCUCUUCAGAGCUGAAGAAGCUUCUUGGAUGAGAAGCAAAACGUCUUCCAAAGAAAAACAAGGAAGUCCAGUUGCUUUCUUUGGGACACCGAUGAUCUGGAUGAGGGAGAACCUCCAUAGACAUCUGUUUUUGACUUCUUACUCAGCUGUUUUGGGGGAAAAGCGGCUAUCUGGGUCCAUUUGCGCUAACCCAGAUUUAAUUAACCAGGAAGCAAAUGGGCAGAUCAAAAGGGAUGAUCCAGCCCAGAGAAACAAUAGCAGGCUGUUAAUAGAAGCAACAGGAUGACCGGAUCCAGCCUUCUCCAGAUGCUUUCCCUUUGAUCCUGCAUUGGGGGGGGGAACAGGUGGGCCCCAAGCACCUCCCAGAAGCUCCAGUUUAACCUAACCAGGAGGAUCAUCAGAGCCAUCUUCUCAGCUGUGUUCUAGUCCUGCAGCCGCCAUCCAACAGGCUCAGAUAAUACGGGUCUCCUCUUCUGAUUGAUGCUGUUUCCAAGCUGCCCGGCUAAAUCUCCUGAGACCCAAUUACAUCCCGGUCCACAAUCCAGGACAUCGAAAGCAAUAAAAAUGACGCUUGAGCAAA